GAUUAUUUAUAUACUUUUAGUAUCAAAUGUAUAUUACUUAUAAGAUAACAAAUUUAAUAACCUAGGAUGAUAACGAAUACUAAACUUUGAGUCAAGAUAGAUUAAGCAAUAUUAAAUUUAGUUAAUUGGACAAUAAAAUCUUUUCAAUUUCUAAAGAAAAAAAUACUAAUUUUUCACAGAAAACAGAUUCAUAUUUUUUAAUCUUAUAUUAUAUAGAUCUUCCAGGGAGACAAAAAAUAUGAGAGUUUUAAUAAGUUCAGGUAUGUUAUUCAGAGAUAUUAAUCUAUAUAUUUAAAACCAACAAAUAUUUUAAAUAUUAAUUUUUUUAAACUUUUAUUUGAAAAUUUUUGUUAUUUUUAAAUAAUCAUAAUAAACUAUUUUUAGAGCAUUUCAAUCGCAUCAAUUAUAUUGAACCUGAUCCAUUAUAAUAAGGUGCAAUAACUUAUUAAUGGUAAUUAAAAAAUGUAAAAAAGUAACUUUUUCGAAUUUUUUUAUUAAAAAUUCAGGGAUGCCACUGGUCUGGAAAACCGGGAAUCGUUAGGGAAAUACAAAAGUAUCUAGAAAACCAGGAAAAGCCAGGGGAAAUGAUGAAAAAAUCGGAAAUUCCAUCAUAAUUUCAAGUGCGAGCGAACUUUACCCUAUUUUAAAAUAUUAGGGUUUUAGGGAGUCUUGAACUAUGCGUAUGCAGGGAGAGCAAAUAAACUUUAAAUAUUUUUUACAAAAUAAUAAUUAUUGAAAAAGUAAUGCAUCAAGAAAAAGAAAUUUUAUUUAUUAUUAGCAUCAAGUGGGAGGAAAUUUUUGUGAAAUGUCUUAAACGGACGGCAAGGCGCAGGAAUUUGGCGAGUCCUAUAUGGAAAGCGCGGUUUUCCAAGGGAUGGCUUGGGCAGUUGCUGUUUUGGGUCCAAAGUGUAAAGAUGCACUUUAUCUGUUUGAGAAUUCGGCAUCUCAGAAUAUCAUAUUUAAUUGUUGGCGAUUCGUGUAUCCUGAGACCGCAGCUUCGAGAAAUAAAUUAAUUGUUUAUUUAAAA